rnacentral:lncRNA from 1 species
UUUAUAAGUGACUCAGUCUCAUGUAUUUCUGUAUAGCAGUGCAAAUGGACAAACACAGUUUCCAUCCUGCCUGUCCUGCCUCUCUCCCAACCUCCACCUCCCUCUCCUCAGCCCCCCGACCAGAUGUCCUUCCUGGGCCACACUACCCUGUAUCCUGUCCCCAGUGAGAAGCUCACCUUCCAGAGGCCAGCCUGGCGUGGACUGGGUGUGGGGCACGUGAACCAAAGCCCAGAGCUAGCCCCGAGGAGUGAUCCUUGCGUGGGACUAGAAAGAGGGGACCCGCUGUGUCCUCAGUGAGAAGGAGGGCAGGGAUGCAGGGGUGCAGCCCUCAGAUAACAAGUGACAACUGGCCGGGCACAAGGAGGGGUGUUUAAGGUUGAGGUGAGACUGGAUUGGCCUCAGGGAACUACUGCCACAGGAGGAAAAUGUGAGCCAGAAAGAGGCCCCAGGGCAAAUGGCACCAAGCUCAGCUAUCUGGGGAAGAGUUUAAAUCUGUUCAUGAGCCCCUCGCACCCGUGCUUCUCUACCUGUGACCUCAUCCCAUCGUCACAAGAGCCCUGUGUGGUACAUGGAAUUUCGUAGGAAAGGAAACUGCUGUUCAGUGAAGGGAGGAACCUGCCCAGACAGGCCUGGGAACCUGCCAGCAAGGCAGUCCACCACCACGUCCUUUUGCCUCUGGCCGCGGCACACUGGAGGGAAGCCGUGGGGCCCUGCAGGGAACCCUGCCUUGUCCAGACUCUGCAAGGUGCCUCUGCAGGGCUUCUGGCGUCCCUUCCACAGGAGCUAUUUGCAACCCUGGGAAUUGUAGAGAACUUCUGUCCUGCCUGGAGAGGCUUGACUGCCCCUGUGGGCCCUGCUGAGAGGCUGGCUCUGCUUCCAUCUGUACUUCAUGCUCCUCACUCCGUGUGAACUCCUGCCACUGGGACUGCCUCUGAGAACCAGUCACAGCACCUGCCAGCUUCCCUCAUGAGACCCUAAAGGAGAACUCUUACCAGCCCCCACCCCACCCCACCGCAGCACAGACUACGCUGGGAUGCCAAGGACUGACAUUCAUACCUGUGUUCUCCUCUCCUUGUGAAGUCCAGAGAACUGAGUGCUACUCUUUUCCUAGUGGCAUUGUCACCGCUGUGAUGAGACUGGACCGCGAGGAGGCAGCAGGAGGAGCGUGGCCACCUCUGCAAUUGACACCAAAGCCCAACCUUUUAUGUGAGAGCGUGGCAGGCUUCCUGAGGUAAACUCUUGACUAACUCACUAGUGACGUGCUGAUUUUCCAAUUUACAAAGGGCUGGAUAAUUAUUAACAUUUUUUUUUCACAUUAGUGGGAGGCAUUCUGAGCAUAUCACUUAAGGACUGCACUAGAGGAAAACAUGGAGUGAACUCGCUGACAACGAUUUUUGAAAUCCAGGGUAAUUAGUUCCAUCAGAACAAUCCCAAUUACAUUCCUAAUUCUCUCUGCCUUGCUGAAAGCACCGAAAGUGAACCAUGUUGGUGUCAUUAUAUUCCUGCUCAGAAGAGUCUUUAUCACCAGCGCUGGGAAUGGAGGAGGGGUUGAGGAAGGGGCCAGUGCCCAGGUUGUGGGAAGCCCCCACAAGGGGACCAAGCCAAUGAUACCAGCGUGGCACAAGGGCCUGAAAGUCAAAGAGUGGCCAGUGCGGGGUGAGGAAGGGGACCAAGUUUCUGGUCGUCUCCCGAGGAAUUCAAGUAACACUCAUGUGAGGACAUUUAUAACGUCAGCUCCAGAGACAUCUUGGUAGCCAAAUGAGGAAAGAAAAUAACUUUCAUCUGAGGAAUUUGAGACCUUUCAAAUUAUUACAGCCAGAGAGACAUUAAAAUGGGACAAUAAGCCA